GAAUGCAAUUGAUUAUUUAACAUGGGUUAAUUGAUUCCAUAAUCAGUCAAAUAGAUAUGUAUGCAUGAUUUAUUUGUUUAUGCAUGACUUCCGCCGUGAAGGGGCACCAAUCUCCAACAGCGGAGACUAGGCGCUUAUCCAAUUCUAUAAAUUUCUUGAGGUAUAGAGUGUUUCUAGUUUCUUUUGUGUUCAAUGAUUAGCGGGAUUCUCCUUAUUAUAUUGUUAGUGGUUGGUGACUACGGAAAUUGCAUUGGAGGCAUUGGAGAGAUUUUAAUUAUAAGCCGCGAACUGUGAGAUUUGCUCGUCAGCAUAAUUCGGAGAAGAAAGAUGUUAUAGGCGAGGUAACCUUACCUCAAUUUUCAGCUGCAGUGAUUCCUCAGAAAGAGAUUCGGAAUGUUAGUGAAGUUGGUGUGGAAGUGGAACCUAUCAAAGAUUUUGUAAUGCAUGUCGGUGGUGCAGUCUGGGCAUUAGACUGGCGCUCUGGAGUCGAUCGAAAUCCUGAGAAUUCCAUUAAGUCUGAGGUAUUAUUAUGCACAAAGCUUUUGCUUGCGUCUGUUCUUUGUAUUUCCUUCACAUGCUUUAAGAAAACUUUAACUUGUAACCACAGAAAAAAGGAAAAAACUGAAUAGAUUUACUUGGAAGAACUGGCACAAACUAAUGUACUUUAAUGUGAUGGAAAGCACUAUCCGACUUAGAACUUGGUUCAAUGCUCUUUACUCUGGAUAUCGUGUUUAUGGCAUCUCAGUACAUUGUUUACAACAAACAUAUUACUGAUACUGUUCGUGAUUUCUUUCCUUCUAAACUUUGAUUCAGUAGUUUAUCGCUGUUACUGCACAUCCUCCUGAUUCCUCAUUCAUAAGAUUGGCGCUUCUCUAACUGGAAGAGGAGUAAUCCAGAUUUGUUGUUUCUUGACUAUCUAUGAGAAGGAUGUACCUUCUCAAGUGAAGAAAAAAACACCAGGCAAACCUAAAGACCUAACUCUGGUUCAAAGGCCAAGAGGAAGGCCAAGAAAGAAGCCUCUUCUUGGUGACACUGUGGAGAAGAUAGAUUCUGAUAACCAGCAUGUUCAACCUCUUUCCAUUGAAUACCCAAUGGGCUCAUCUGGAAUAAAUUCUUCUGAAUGAACUUCUGGAAAUACCAGUACAAGGAUAUCGUGGCAUUGUCAAGACUGUGAAGGACAUCUUUUCCUAACUGGUCCUAAAGGAAGAGGAAAUAAACGGUACGGAAGGCAGUACAAGGAAACAAGAUUCACAGUAACAGCUUGCACAUUCUCAGGCAUUGUCAGCAAGGAGAACCACCUCUUGUGGAUCCACUAACAUUAGAAAGUUUCAGUUUAGAUUCUACGAGGCCAGAUAACAAUAUAACUUCGAUUAGUUCUUCUGUGGAUCCCAUUCCAGUUGAUGUUGCAUUGCCUAGAAUGGUCAUGUGUUUAGCUCACAACGGAAAGGUUGUGUGGGAUAUAAAGUGGCGGCCAGCCAGUGCUUGUUUCUCUGAAUCCAGAAAUAUAAUGGGGUUAUCUUGCUGUAUUACUUGGAAGUGGUGUUCUGGAAGUGUGGGAGGCCCCUUUGCCUCGUGCUGUGAAACACGUGUAUCCUACUUCCCAGAAGCAUAUUGAUCCUUGCCCCAUCAAAUUGCAGUCAGUUUUUAGAUCUUCGGUGUUGAAGUGUGGUGAUAGGCAAAGCAUUCCUCUAACGGUCGAGUGGUCUGUGUCAUCUCCCCACGAUAUGAUUUCAGCAGGGUGUCAUGAUGGAAUUGUAAAUUUCUUUAUGUCCUUGUCAAUCUCAUAAUGAUGAAAAACAAGACCAACAACAGUAAUUACUUUUUUUCCUAAUGUUUCCUGCAAAGUAUAUAGUUUUCCUUUGGCUACUUUUACCCGCUUCUUAGGCCUGUAAACACAUUCUUUCAAAUAUAAAUGUAGGUCGGAAUAUGGAAGUUCUCUGUCAGUGAUUCAUUAACAGAGUGCAGACCUUUGGUUUACAUCAAUGCAGACACAGGUCCUAUUAGAGCACUGGCUUGGGCACCAAUCCAAAGUUUUCUGUAGUUAAUUGACUAUAAUAACUUCCCAGGAUAUGCAAAAGUUGAAUUUCUUUCCAUAUUCAUUCCAACAAGCACGCACUUUUUUGUCACGAUGGUUAAUUCACUCUACUGGAACUUCAUUCUCAUAGUAUGCAGUCUCAGGAUCACUUUGCGAUAAAUGAAUACACUCUUCAAUUAUCUCUUAAAUGGUUGUGUAUAAAAUUUGCAGUAAUCACGAGGGUGCAAAUAUAAUUAUCACUGCGGGAAGUAAAGGCUUUAAGUUUUGGGACAUAUGUGAUCCCUUUUGUCCGUUGUGGGUUAAUCCUUUUCUGGGCACCACUUUUGGUUUGGACUGGCUUCCAGAUCCAAGAUGUGUUUAUGGAGCCAUGGAGGAUGGGACAAUGUGGUUACUCAGUUUAGAGAGGGCAGCACAUGAUAUCCCACUUACAGUUACAGGAAACUAUCACAAUGUGGCAUCGAAGCAUGGGUUCCACAGUUUUCACUGUUCCACGUUUGCAAGCUUCAAGGGAAUGGAUCAUUAAGUUCGGAAGCUACUUAAUGAAGGCACAAAGAGGAAAACAUGCAAGAAAUAGGGCAAAAAGACAAAGAAUGGAAGAAAGUGAAGGAAGAAGGCAAAGAAGACCCAAACUGCCCAAGCUGUAGAACUGGCCAGUUUGAACCUGACGGGAAAAUGACUAAAGCCACUUCCACACACUUAUCAAGGAUAUGUCCCACUUGAUACACACGCCCAUAUCAGCCCUUGGGGAGCAAAAAAGAAGGGGAAAUAUCUUUUAUUGGAUAUAUGUAUUAAAAGUACUUAACUUGCCAACAACACUAACCACUUAGCUUUACUUUAGUUUAGUUUUAUUUCUCUCCCUAGGAAUAUUUCUCUCUUCCUUAAGAAGAGAGAUUUCAACUUCAAGGCUGCCAAGAUCUUUGUUCACCAUGGGUUGAAGUAGUAGUAAUUUAGUUGUAGUGUUUAUUUUCUCUAGUUGCUUGUUCUUAACUUUGUAGUUCUUUUGCAUAAAUCUCACUCUUAGUUAUUGUUGUUGUUCU